rnacentral:rRNA from 1 species
CGACCGNGACCCCAGGUCAGACGGGACUACCCCUAGUUAAGCAUAUCAAUAA